rnacentral:ncRNA from 15 species
CCAACCUUUGCUCAGAUGGUAGAGCGGAGGAUUGUAGAUCCUUAGGUCGCUGGUUUGAAUCCGGCAGGUCAGA